rnacentral:tRNA from 1 species
UCCGGGAUAGCUCAGCGGUAGAGCGAUCGGCUGUUAACCGAUUGGUCGUAGGUUCGAGUCCUACUCCCGGAGCCA